GGUGACACAAAAGGCCAAUGGUGUUUUGUCUGUCCCAAUAAAACAGCCUCAGACUGGCUUGAGUCCCUUUGAUUUAUGAGAAGAGACCAAGCUACUACCCAUGUGGCUGUACCUCCUUGUUCUGCUGACCUGUUUGAGACCCAGAGGAUACACUGUGAAUUCAGCUUCCAUUGUUAGAGGCUGGUGAAAUAUGGAGACCAUUUUAAAUCACCACAUGCCAACCUGAAUGGAAUGCCCGCAUGUCAAGAAGUUGGCCGUGUCUGCUUAUAAAUGUGUUGGCAGUGCAGUGAGUGCUACUUAUGUUGUUUCGAAGGAGAGUAAUUUCCCAAGAGAGUUAUUCUUUUUCCCUCUCUCUCCCUAUGCUGGUAUGAAAUAAUGAAGCAUAGCAUAUAAAGGUACUAGCUACGGAAAUCUGUCUCCCGUGCAAGCAAUGCACAGCAACCCACUUCCACUGCGGGUGCUGCCGUACAUGUAUACAGCUCUGUAAACAUUCUGCAUGGCAGGACAAGAAACAGCACCACUAGGGGAAUCCAGUACAUUAUUGAUGACAAGCUUCCCAAUAUGUUUUUGUUUUCUCUGUCAACAGAGAAACAAAUUACAUCUGAUUUCCUAGAAGGUGGCCCUGCUGAUAUGAAGCAUGGUACUUUAUUUUAACUUAUGAUAUGAUAUGAAAUCUACUAGUGGCUGAAAUCUAGAAUCCCUAGACACAGAUAGACAUGGUUCCCUCUACCUGCAAUUGCUGGAGCCUUACAAUUAUUUCAACAAAUACAUAUGAAAGGUGAAGGCAAAUGGUUUGGUCCCAUUAGAAAAAAUCCAAAACACAUUAGGGCAAUACCUUCAUAAGGUCAGACAGUAAAGGUUGCUUCCAAUGCAAGACCUAUUAAGAGUUCCCUUGAAACUAGUGAACAUGAAUCUCUUUGGUCCAUUGACUUCAGUGAGUCUACUCUGAGUAAAACUUAGUUGGAUGCAACCUGCAGUGGGAAAAUAGUGUGCAAGCUUUUGAGUUUUAUAAAGCUCUUCAUGAGGUUAUAUGUUUGUUUUUCUUUAAAAAAAUGCAAGGUGGGUGAAGAGAGAAAAGAUGCUCUUGUUCAAGCCAUCCAUAUCUGUAUCUUGUAAGAGUCUUAGUUUUAAAGAGGUAGCAGGUAUUCAAAUGAGACCCUUUAAGCAUGCAGUCUAGGCUAAUUUAUUCAUUAAGAUAAUUCUUUUUUCCUUUUCACCAUGCUGGUUCUUGGGUUAGAAUGAAGGGCUGAGUUAAAACAGCCUUUGACAACCUCAUGUACUCCAGGUGCUUUGGCUGGGAGUUGUAGUCCAGAAAACCUGGAUGCCAUCAGGUUGGUGAAGUCUGGGUUAGAAUAUGAGAAUGAUCAUGGGGCUGUUUACCUGAACUGACCCCUAGUAAAUUCUGAUGACUUUGUGUAGGAUUCCAACCCCAAUUGACCUUCACUGCUCCUUUCCAGUGAAAUAUGUCUCCAGAAAUGUCCACAUUUUGUCCUGUUAAGUUGCUUCUUGGUGAGGUACCACCCUUUGAGGAUUUGUGUAAUCAAAGUCAAUCAUUCCUCUUGUUCCCUCCUCCUGCCUUCCACCCUCACUCACAUACAGCAGGACAUUGUCAAACACCAAAUCCAAAUUUGAAUAACUAGAAAGCCAGGACUCAUUUUCUCCAGUAAACUCUGUCAAACUCUGGCACAAAGCCCAGAAUGAGUUUUAAGUAAAGUUAUCUCCUUUUCCCACCAAGGCCUAAUAGGUGUGAGAAGUCUACAGAGCUUGUGCAAAAGUAAUUUCCCUAUCAGCUGUCAAUAGUUCUCUAGUCUGCCUACCACUAAAGGCUUAACUCUUUCUGUAAUGUAAAAAAUAUAUAUAGCAUAGCAUAAGGUCUGGGCAUGGGUGAGUUUCCAUUUCAUUCUUCCAUUGUAAGUGGCUUUUGGCUUUGAUUGGUGGGUUCUCAGAAGAUUGUUGAAUAGACUGCUACUAAAUAGUUCUGCAGUGUGUUAAAAAUGGGAAGGAACUUGGUGGUUGCAAUUGCAGCAUCUAGAAUUUCAUUACCAAGCAAGCAAAAUUCAUAAAGUUUAUUACAAUAAUGUUGAUGGAGGAGAACAGAUUAGUGGGAGGGAAGGAAGGAUACGAUGCCUUGCCUUAUCUUAUAGCAAAACAGGAACAAAAAACAGAUGAGGGGGGGACCAAAUGUAAGGGAGGGGAGACAAAGGCACAGGAACCCAAGGGAAAUUACAAUAAAAAUGAUUAUUGAAGCACAAAUAUUGAAGCACAAAGUAUGGAAUACAGAAUUUAAAACUGGGGGAAACUGGGGCUGCUCUGAAUUACACUGAGUGGUUGCAUAGCCCAGGGGACCCCAGAGGUCAGCUCCCACCAUUUCAUCCCUAGAGGCAGCAUGGCAGGGGGCUGCCAAGGAGGAGGCAGAACCAGCCUCCAAGGACUGUUCCUCAGCAGUUUCUGCCACCACAGCAAAGGCAAGAGCAGUGGGCAAUGUAUUCCUUGGGGGGCCAUUUGCUGACUCUGGAGAUUCUGUCAAGGUGGUCACCUCACCUUGCCUCAUGGGGGGCUGACACUGUAUUUUUCCACUGUAUUUUUUCCAGCUGGAGAGGCUGGCUACAACCAAGCUCCCUACCAGUCAGGUAAGGUUUUCUUCCCUCCCCACCAUAUUCCUGAUGUAGAUUUUCAUUCAUUCCAUUUUUCCUGAUGUAGAUCUUCACUUGCUCCUUUUCUCUCAUGGGGAGAGCAGAAUUUUGUAGCUCACCUCAGAUGCCAAAGUAUCUUGUGCCAGCCCUGUCCCCAGCCAUCUUAACAAAAAAAAAGGUAAGAUCAGAUCUUGAAGUGUUCCAGCAUUUUCUUGGCCAUUUUUGCUGUGCUUCCCAUCCCCCAUUCCUGCUUUGAUUUUGUUUUAAUGACUGGAGCUUAUAUUGUGUUGUAUUGUGUUUCAUAGGAACACUGCUAAGAUAAUUCAUCACACAAGUGAAAAUUAGCAUAUACAUUCUCUAAAUACAUAUUUUUUGUUUCUUUGUUUAUUCUUAAGAGGACAAAAAAAAGUAGUCAGGCCAAGAUGAUGUCCUUAUUCUGUACAAUUUUAUGUUCAUUUCUUUCUCCCUGGUAGCAAAGUCAUGCAUUUGAACAGAGAAGGGAAAGCGUUUCAGAAUAUUGGUCUGGAGAGGUAGAAAAAAACUUAGAAUGUACUGAAGUCAAAUGCAGGAAUGGCCACAGAAGGCAUACCAGCUGAAGCUGGAAAAAGACAUUCCUUGCCACUGGUGCCAAAUGGGCUUCCAGUGAGAAUACUGAAUUGAGCAGCACCUCUAAAUAUUUGUCACAUGCAGCACCGCUUCCAUUCCGCUGCAGUUCAUGUUCUACGGCAAAUUUCACUUUUUUAUCUUUCUGUCUGUUGCGGCAAAAUUAUGCAAUUUAUGUAAAAUACAUAACAAAUUAUUUAAAUUAUCUUAUUCUUAUGAUAUCCCACCCCAUUCAUUUUGAUGCAAAGAUACAGAAAUGCAAUGCAAAUUGGGGGGGGGGGAGUAAUCAAUUUUUGAUUGCUUUUUGGCUGCAAGCAAUGACAACAACUACAACAACAGUGAAUACUGAUUGGAGUGAUUUCCAUUUUGGAUAUGGGAUGAAUAAAUUGACGAUGGCCAUUUCUGCUCUGAUUUCCAUCAGAAUUCUCCAAUGUCCCUAUUCUACAAGCUACAAACUAAUACAGGAACCCAAGAAGCCUCCAGAUGUAAUUCGACUCCCAAUAAUAGUUGACGUAUCAGCGCGAGGCAGCAUGGCCUAAGGACAUGGGUGAUUGGAGUUGCAGUCCCGCAAUAUUCAGAGAGCCACUGGUUUCAGACCCCAUCAUUAGAUUCUUUGUGCCAUUGUUUUAGUUGAAAUGCAUGCACAUGUGAACCAUAUCUUAAUUUUUCUCCAUAAAAUGACCAGAGAUUGAGAGGUCACGAAAAACUAGGGUGGAAUCUACACACAUAUAAAAAACCACUGUGAAAAUGCUUUUUUAAAAAAUGAUUUGAAAAAUACAUUGAAUUUUGCAUAGCUCAGUUUCGUCAUCUAGUGUAAUAUUUGUGUAUUGCACUUUACAACACAUCUAAAACGGUUUAUUUGCAGAUGGAUAGCUGAGUCUUAGGCUAUUGAAAGAAUAUGAAGUACAGUGGUACCUCUGUUUAUGAACUUAAUCUGUAACGGAAGUCUGUUAUUAAACCGAAACCAUUCUUAAACUGAGGCGCACUUUCCCUAAUGAGGCCUUCCACCGUUCAGAUUCUGUUCUUAGACCGAGGUAAAGUUCGCAUACCAGGACACUACUCCUGGUUUUGCGGAGUUCGUAAACUGAAUAGUUCGUAAACAGGGCUGUUCUUAAACCGAGGUGCCACUGUAGUUUAAAUAUGUUUUAUUUGAUUUCAAGUUGCCAUCGUUUGUAUACGGAAGAUCUGUUCCUUUAACAGGGAUGGCAGAAAUCAAGAAGGGAAGUUUCUCCUGUCACUGCAUUUCUAAACCAGGGAAUUGUUUCUCUAUUGAUUUCUGCUUGUUGUAAAACUGUUGAAUGAGAGAGAGAGAGAGCGAGAGAGAGCGCACAUAUGAUUUGAUUUGGGCAUUCAAAUCAAAACACAGCAUUUACAAGUGUAUUCACAACUGGUUAUGUGCGCAUUGUGGAGAGAGUGGUAACACAAAAAGCUAAUUCACUGCAUCAACUUCUGCUAGAUCCAAUUAUUUGGGUUUGGAAAACAGUCCUUUAAUUUUCACUUUGCGAUUAUACGGCUGAAUAAGUCUUGUAAAUUAUCUUUAAAACCAUUUUUAUUACAAAAUAUUUGCAUGUUAAAUGCAAUUGUUUCCUUUUAAGUGAAGUUAAAAUUAGGCGCUUAACUAUGUUUCAGGAGUGAUAUAUGGAGUUGAGCUCCACUGCCAUGCGUUCCAGGAUUCUGCUCCAUGAAUAAAACCAUCAAAGUAAAGCUACCAAUAACACUUCAUCUUGACAUUAAGUUCUGUACAACAAAUAAAUCUCCAGAAUCUCAACAGACCCAGCAACUUCAUUAACAGUUAUGCUGCAGCAGGGGAAUGAAAGAAAAUCAAUUCACAGAUGCCAGCAUUUUAGGUUUUACUCUGGUGAGGACCGCUUUCUUGACCACCCAAGAAGAGAAAGUUAAACAACAACAACAACAACAUUAAGUCUUUUAGAUUAAUGGUAGGUACUCAUCUGCAGCGCAUUGGGAAGAAUGGCAUUAACACACCUUUCUGGUAAUUUACCUCUUUAGUGCAAAUGGCAGAC